rnacentral:rRNA from 1 species
CAGCCGCCACGGGAACACGGAGGGAGCUAGCGUUGUUCGGAAUUACUGGGCGUAAAGCGCGCGUAGGCGGUUACUCAAGUCAGAGGUGAAAGCCCGGGGCUCAACCCCGGAACUGCCUUUGAAACUAGGUGACUAGAAUCUUGGAGAGGUCAGUGGAAUUCCGAGUGUAGAGGUGAAAUUCGUAGAUAUUCGGAAGAACACCAGUGGCGAAGGCGACUGACUGGACAAGUAUUGACGCUGAGGUGCGAAAGCGUGGGGAGCAAACAGGAUUAGAUACCCCCGUAGUCCCUGUCUCUUAUAA